rnacentral:lncRNA from 1 species
CCGGGGAGCUGUGAAAAAUGUAUCGCGGGGGAGGGGGGGGCCCGCAGCGGCCUGGUCUGGUGGUGGCGAGGCCGAAGCCGCCAUUUGCACACACACUGGUGUUUGGAGAGAGCCACUUGCGAGCAAAGCCACCCUUUGCACACAUACUGGUGCUUGGAAAGAGCCACUUGUGAACAAAUUAAAAGCAGUGUGGACAGAGACAGAACUCACUGAUAACACAUGCUUCCUGACUUUUCAGAAGGUUGGGUUUUGUCCAAACUAUGGGUGAAUUUUAAAGCGGUGCAUUAGAAGAACAUCAACUUUAUGGAGGAAAAGUAGGAUUUUUUUUCACUUAGAAGCAUAUUAAAUGUCCAGAAAACUACAUCAGGACAUGAGGCAGUUAUGACUGUUGAAAAUGAGAGCUGUGUACAUCAGCUGAGCUAUAGGAACCAGUAAUUACACAUUUCAAGGUAAUUGAUGAGGGAAGCUGAAGUCACCAGGAAAAAAACCACUGUUAUACAGUUCUAUACUCGGGGCUAGACCUGUGCACUGUGAAGAAGAGGAUUGCCUUUGGCUGCACCUCCAUCAUACAACUGGAUGUGCAUACUGCACUACAGGAGUAAGGGAGGGAGUGGGCUCCCUGUGAAAUGCUCCUGGCUGUGGACUUUGUUACAGAGCCCCAGAUCAGCCCCUACAUUCUGUGCAUUUCCAGGUAUAGAGUCUGGGCCUUCCAGACAGAAUCUGAUGUAUGUCAGGUCUCCUCCUUGGCAGCACAAGGGUAAUUUUCUACAUAUGGAUGUUUGAUGUGCUGAGCUGAAAACCAAAUUGAAUGGAAAUUUGGAGACUGCAGUUGAAUUCUCCAUGGCAUUUGAUGAAAGUAAGUGGGCAAAAUCCACUUGAGCCUUGAGUCUGUUGGUACUGAAUGGUCCAGGUUUCCUGCCUUGCUAUGAAAUUAAAGGGAAGAGCUUUCCCAAGAAACACCAGAAUGAUGAUUCUUUAAGUAUUAUAGAGUAAUAUAUCAAAAAUGAAUCAUGAAAGUCAUGUAAGGAUUGAGAAAUUU